AACAGGGUGGUUCAGUGGUCUGAGUGUUGGACUAGGACUCAGAGAGACCAAGGUUCGAAUCCCUGCUUGGCCA